GUUCACCCUACACUUCGCGCACAGAGUGAAAGAAGAAAAGCGCCUCCGCUUUGGCUCAACACAGCAGAAAACCCUGCUCUUCGCGCAUAGAGUGAAGAGACCAGAUACGCCUCCGCUUUGGUUCUGAACACGGAAAACUCUGCUCUUUGCGCACAGAGAGGAGCUACUCCUCCGCCCAAGUCGUUACUUCGUCGGCUUUCUUCACCAAAAUUUCAGUUAGAUACCUAAGUUGGUGUUUGAACUUCUGCUUCGCGUGAAGAAUGGGGAUUUUCGAACCCUUUCGUGGUAUUGGAUAUAUUACAAGCAGUGUUCCCUUCACCGUGCAGAGAUUGGGAACUGAAACUUUCGUCACUGUUAGCGUUGGAAAAGCUUGGCAGGUUUACAAUUGUGCCAAGCUGUCGUUGGUGCUCGUUGGCCCUCAAUUGCCAAAGAAGAUCCGAGCUCUUGCAUCCUAUCGGGACUACACAUUUGCCGCAUAUGGGAAUAACAUUGGCGUUUUCAAACGUGCUCACCAGGUAGCAACAUGGACCAGGCAUAACGAUAAGGUCAAUUGGUUGCUCUUGUUUGGAGAACAUGUACUAAGUCUUGAUGCUAAGGGUAAUCUAUUCAUAUGGCCUUUUAAAGGGCUCGAUGAAAAUCUUGCUCCAAUUGGACAUAUUGUCCUAGAAGACAAAUUCAUCCCUAGCUGCAUAAUGCAUCCUGACACUUACUUAAACAAGGUUAUAAUUGGGAGUCAGGAAGGUUCACUGCAGCUUUGGAAUAUUAGCACAAAGAAGAAACUUUAUGAGUUCAAAGGCUGGAAUUCAUCUAUAUUUUGCUGUGUUUCCUCACCUGCACUAGAUGUAGUUGCUGUUGGCUGUGCUGAUGGGAAAAUUCAUGUUCAUAAUCUUCGGUAUGACGAAGAAGUAGUUACAUUUAGCCAUUCUGCACGAGGUGCCGUGACUGCCUUGUCUUUUAGGACUGAUGGACAGCCUCUUUUAGCAUCUGGAGAUUCAUCGGGUGUCAUAAGCAUAUGGGAUCUUGAGAAGAGAAAGCUCCAAUCAGUCAUACGAGAGGCCCAUGACAAUUCAAUAAUGUCGCUACACUUUUUCACUAAUGAGCCUGUGCUUAUGAGUUCUUCUGCUGAUAACUCUAUCAAGAUGUGGAUAUUUGACACGAGUGAUGGGGAUCCUCGCCUUUUACGCUUCCGAAGUGGCCAUAGUUCUCCUCCACUUUGCAUUAGGUUUUAUGCUAAUGGAAGACACAUUUUAUCAGCUGGUCAGGAUCGUGCCUUUCGUCUUUUCUCUGUUAUUCAGGAUCAACAAAGUAGAGAGCUUUCUCAGCGUCAUAUCUCUAAGAGGGCGAGGAAACUUAGGAUGAAGGUGGAAGAAAUAAAAUUGAAGCCUGCUAUUGCAUUUGAUUGUGCUGAGAUCCGUGAACGUGAUUGGUGCAAUGUUGUAACUUGCCAUAUGGAUACUCCACGGGCAUAUGUGUGGAGGCUUCAGAACUUUGUCCUUGGUGAGCACAUCCUGACGCCAAGCUUGGACAGUCAAACACCCAUUAAGACUUGUGCAAUCAGUGCUUGUGGUAAUUUUGCCGUUCUGGGGACAGAAGGUGGAUGGGUAGAGAGAUUUAAUCUCCAGUCAGGAAUCAGCCGAGGGAGCUACAUAGACAUUUAUGAAAGCAGAAGCUGUGCCCAUGACAGUGAAGUGGUUGGAGUUGCUUGUGAUGCUACAAAUACCCUCAUGAUAAGUGCUGGAUAUCAUGGAGAUGUAAAGAUCUGGGAUUUCAAGGGGCGUGAAUUGAAAUCCAGAUUGGAAGUCAGUUCUUCUGUGGUCAAGUUAGUUUAUCACCGAUCCAAUGGGCUUUUGGCAACUGUGGCUGAUGAUAUGGUUAUCCGUGUGUUUGACAUUGUUGCCUUACGAAUUGUUCGUAAAUUUGAAGGCCAUACAGAUCGAAUUACUGACUUGUGUUUCAGUGAGGAUGGGAAAUGGCUUUUGUCAUCCAGUAUGGAUGGAAGUCUUAGAAUUUGGGAUGUUAUCCUUGCAAGACAGAUUGAUGCAAUACAAGUGGAUGUGGCUAUCACGGCACUGUCCCUGUCACCAAAUAUGGAUGUUUUGGCAACUUCUCAUGUUGAUCAAAAUGGUGUCUUUCUGUGGGUUAACCAGGCCAUGUUCUCUGGAGCUUCUUAUGUGGAUUCAUAUGCAAGUGGGAAAGAAGUUGUCAGUGUCAAGUGGCCAGCCAUCUCUUCGAAGGAAAUUGCUGAUGAGGAGAAUCAUGGGAACCAUAUUGGGUGUAAAUUACAUGUUAAGGACACUGCUUAUGCCUCACAUUUCAAUCAACAGAUCCCUGAUCUAGUAACUCUCUCAUUGUUGCCAAAAAGCCAGUGGCAAAGCUUGAUCAAUUUGGACAUUAUAAAGGUCCGCAACAAACCAAUUGAGCCACCCAAAAAGCCAGAAAAGGCUCCAUUUUUCUUGCCAUCAGUCCCAUCUUUUUCUGGAGACAUAUUGUUCAAACCUACUGGCAUAGCUGUUGAAGAAAAGGAGAAAAAAGAUGAUGAGAUGGAAAGCAGUAAAAGGAUACCUGAUCAACAGACCUCCCGAUUUCUGCAAUUACUUCUUUCCUCUGCAGAAAUGAAAAAUUUUUCAGCAUUUACAGACUACAUCAAAGGUUUAUCUCCAUCAACAUUAGAUUUGGAGCUCCGGAUGCUUCAGAUCAUAGAUGACGAAGAUCAGCAAGAGCCUGAAAAGAGAUCUGAAUUAUAUUCCAUUGAGCUGCUACUUGAUUACUUCAUACAUGAGAUUUCGUGCAGAAAAGACUAUGAAUUCAUUCAAGCAGUAAUUAGAUUGUUUCUUAAGAUACACGGCGAAACAGUUAGGCGCCAGUCUAAACUUCAUGACAAGGCAAAGAAACUUUUAGAAGUUCAUAGUUCAGUAUGGCAGACACUGGAUAAAAUGUUUCAAAAUGCAAGUUGCAUGCUUACAUUUCUCAGCAGUUCACAGCUCUAAGUGGGGAAGAGAAAAGCAUGGGGAAGUAGAUGCCAUUGCAGAUGACAGUGUUACUUCAUCAUAGCUUCUUUGUUGCACAAAUUCUGAACAAAGUUAGGCGGCUUCUUUGUUGUACAAAAAGAGCACUUAUUUUUCAGCUUCAGGCAGCAAUUUUGAGACAGAGGACCUUGAUUUUUGCAGUUUUUAUGAAGAUCAGUUAUUCACUAGGGACGUUGGUAUGCCUUGGUAUUUUUUGUAAAUUCUAAGCUAAGAGGUUAAAAAUUGAAAUUUGUUUGAAAUAGUAGUGCAGCCGACCCCAUUUAGUUGUGAUAAGGUUAUGAUUAUUGUUAUUGUUGUUGUAGUAGUAGUGCAGUUUACUUCAUCAGCA